rnacentral:misc_RNA from 1 species
UGGCUCUCGCAUCGAUGAAGAACGCAGCGAAAUGCGAUAAGUAAUGUGAAUUGCAGAAUUCAGUGAAUCAUCGAAUCUUUGAACGCACCUUGCACCCUUUGGUAUUCCGAAGGGUACACCCGUUUGAGUGUCCUUGUAAUCUCACUAUCUUCGACUUUUUGUCGUUCAUAUGUGGACCUGGAUGUUGCCGUUGGUUUUCGACGGCUCGUCUGAAAUGCCUGAGUGUACCCCGCUUUGCGGCGUAUUCGGUGUGAUAAAUAUUGUCACCGGAGUUGAUCCUUUUGGGUCGCGUCUGCACGAGUGUGGCUCUAUGCUUUCCAACCGUCCCUUUACUGGGACAAUCUUCUUGACAAUUUGACCUCAAAUCGGGUGGGACUACCCGCUGA